GAAGAGGAGGAAGAGGAGGAAGAGGAGGAGCUGAUCUGUCCCUGAUCUCUAAAGAGACUCAAACUUCCUCCUUCAGCUCAGCUCAACUCUCCAACAUUAACUCUGCUCAACAUGCUGUCUCUGCUCACAUCUGGAUUCACUCUGCUGGUUCUGAUCACUGGAUCAGGUGUAAACUGUCAACAACUCACUGCAGCGAAGACUGAGGAGUUCAGUUCAGAGGGCAGCUCUGUUACUCUGACCUGCAGUUACUCUAAAGCUGCUGUUUAUGAUGAUUAUAUCUUCUGGUAUCGACAAUAUCCUGGAAAACCUCCAGACUUCCUGAUCUCCCACUCAGGAACAGGAGAGAAACUCCAGGAUCCGGUUCCUGGUUUCUCCUUCAACAUGAAUGCUGAUAAAACCCAGAUGGAUCUGCUGAUCUCCUCUGCUGCAGUGACAGACUCUGCUGUGUACUACUGCGCUGUGAGGCCCACAGUGACAGGAAACACCAGAACCCUGUACAAAAACCUGCAGUACUCCCCAGCAGCCACUAGAGGGCCUCACUCCCUGUUAAACCACAAACAGCCAACAUUUAAACCAUGAGGCUGUUUGUGAACAAGCAGCAGAUCACUUUUUAAAUGAUGACGAAGGCCAUAUGCUGAGCUGAGGAUGCUGCCUGGACCCCAUGAAGAGAUGCAGAGACUGUAGAUCUUUGGGAAACUCUGGACUGGCUUUGUUUCCUCCAGAUUGUGCUCCGGUCUGUAAAAUGGGCUUGUGUUUAAUAAAAAUGUUCUUUUUAUUCAUCUUA